AAGCGACUACUGUGCUCGACAGGGACCUAUUCGGCCGAACCGAUAACGCGAACCUGCGGGAGGCACGUAUUCGGCACGCUCGAGGACAUGCCCGCCAGGUAGCGGGACUUCCAGGCGGCCGGCAGCCACCCACCUUUUGAGCGGGUUCGCUGAAUACCUCCCAUCGGCACGGCGGUUCUUC
rnacentral:other from 1 species